rnacentral:rRNA from 1 species
GAGUUUGAUCAUGGCUCAGGAUGAACGCUAGCGGCAGGCUUAACACAUGCAAGUCGAACGGUAACAGGAAUUGCUUGCAAUUUGCUGACGAGUGGCGAACGGGUGCGUAACGCGUAUGCAAUCUACCUUUAACAGAGGGAUAGCCCAGAGAAAUUUGGAUUAAUACCUCAUAACAUCAUGAAUUCGCAUGUUUUUAUGAUUAAAGCUUCGGCGGUUAAAGAUGAGCAUGCGUGACAUUAGCUAGUUGGUGAGGUAACUGCUCACCAAGGCAACGAUGUCUAGGGGGUCUUAAAGGAUGGUCCCCCACACUGGUACUGAGACACGGACCAGACUCCUACGGGAGGCAGCAGUGAGGAAUAUUGGUCAAUGGACGCAAGUCUGAACCAGCCAUGCCGCGUGAAGGAUGAAGGCCCUCUGGGUCGUAAACUUCUUUUAUAUAGGAAGAAACCCUCUUACGUGUAAGAGGCUGACGGUACUAUACGAAUAAGCACCGGCUAACUCCGUGCCAGCAGCCGCGGUAAUACGGAGGGUGCAAGCGUUAUCCGGAUUUAUUAGGUUUAAAGGGUCCGCAGGCGGACGAUUAAGUCAGUGGUGAAAGCCCAUAGCUCAACUAUGGAACUGCCAUUGAAACUGAUUGUCUUGAAUAUGAUUGAAGUGGGCGGAAUAUGUCAUGUAGCGGUGAAAUGCUUAGAUAUGACAUAGAACACCGAUAGCGAAGCAGCUCACUAAGUCAUCAUUGACGCUGAGGGACGAAAGCGUGGAGCGAACAGGAUUAGAUACCCUGGUAGUCACGCGUAACGAUGAUCACUAGCUAUUGCGAUAAACAGUCAGUGCAAAGCGAAGUGUAUGAUUCACUGGGAGUACGAUCGCAGGUGAAACUCAAGAUGACGGGUUGGCAA